UACGUAGGGUGCAAGCGUUAAUCGGAAUUACUGGGCGUAAAGCGUGCGCAGGCGGUUAUGUAAGACAGAUGUGAAAUGCCCGGGCUUAACCUGGGAACUGCAUUUGUGACUGCAUGGCUAGAGUUUGGCAGAGGGGGGUAGAAUUCCACGUGUAGCAGUGAAAUGCGUAGAUAUGUGGAGGAACACCGAUGGCGAAGGCAGCCCCCUGGGUCAAGACUGACGCUCAUGCACGAAAGCGUGGGGAGCAAA
rnacentral:rRNA from 1 species